rnacentral:rRNA from 1 species
GAGUUUGAUCAUGGCUCAGGAUGAACGCUGGCGGCGUGCCUAAUACAUGCAAGUCGAGCGAACGGACGAGAAGCUUGCUUCUCUGAUGUUAGCGGCGGACGGGUGAGUAACACGUGGAUAACCUACCUAUAAGACUGGGAUAACUUCGGGAAACCGGAGCUAAUACCGGAUAAUAUUUUGAACCGCAUGGUUCAAAAGUGAAAGACGGUCUUGCUGUCACUUAUAGAUGGAUCCGCGCUGCAUUAGCUAGUUGGUAAGGUAACGGCUUACCAAGGCAACGAUGCAUAGCCGACCUGAGAGGGUGAUCGGCCACACUGGAACUGAGACACGGUCCAGACUCCUACGGGAGGCAGCAGUAGGGAAUCUUCCGCAAUGGGCGAAAGCCUGACGGAGCAACGCCGCGUGAGUGAUGAAGGUCUUCGGAUCGUAAAACUCUGUUAUUAGGGAAGAACAUAUGUGUAAGUAACUGUGCACAUCUU